AUUGAACGCUGGCGGCAGGCCUAACACAUGCAAGUCGAACGAGUGGCGGACGGGUGAGUAAUGUCUGGGAAACUGCCCGAUGGAGGGGGAUAACUACUGGAAACGGUAGCUAAUACCGCAUACCAUCGGAUGUGCCCAGGGGGGAUGAGCUAGUAGGUGGGGUAACGGCCAACCAAGGCGACGAUCCCUAGCUGGUGUGAGAGGUUGAUCAGCCACACUGGAACUGAGACACGGUCCAGACUCCUACGGGAGGCAGCAGUGGGGAAUAUUGCACAAUGGGCGCAAGCCUGAUGCAGCCAUGCCGCGUGUAUGAAGAAGGCCUUCGGGUUGUAAAGUACUUUCAGCGGGGAGGCGUUACUCACAGAAGAAGCACCGGCUAACUCCGUGCCAGCAGCCGCGGUAAUUC
rnacentral:rRNA from 1 species